rnacentral:misc_RNA from 1 species
UACGUAGGUGGCGAGCGUUACUCGGAAUUACUAGGCGUAAAGCGCAGGUAGGCGGUUUGGCAAGUCCGUGAUGAAAUCUCCCGGCUUAACUGGGAGGGGUUUAGGGAUACUGCUGAACUGGAGUGUGGGAGAGGUAACUGGAAUUCCUGGUGUAGCGGUGAAAUGCGUAGAGAUCAGGAGGAACACCUAUGGCGAAAGCAGGUUACUGGCCCAAUACUGACGCUGAGCUGCGAAAGCUAGGGGAGCAAACAGG